CAGCAGCCGCGGGAAUACGUAGGGUGCGAGCGUUAAUCGGAAUUACUGGGCGUAAAGCGUGCGCAGGCGGUUAUGCAAGACAGAUGUGAAAUCCCCGGGCUUAACCUGGGAACUGCAUUUGUGACUGCGUGGCUAGAGUGCGGCAGAGGGGGAUGGAAUUCCGCGUGUAGCAGUGAAAUGCGUAGAUAUGCGGAGGAACACCGAUGGCGAAGGCAAUCCCCUGGGCCUGCACUGACGCUCAUGCACGAAAGCGUGGGGAGCAAACAGGAUUAGAUACCCCAGUAGUCCCUGUCUCUUAUAC
rnacentral:rRNA from 1 species